rnacentral:rRNA from 1 species
AGUUUGAUCAUGGCUCAGAUUGAACGCUGGCGGCAUGCCUUACACAUGCAAGUCGAACGGCAGCACGGGGGGUAACCCCUGGUGGCGAGUGGCGAACGGGUGAGUAAUAUAUCGGAACGUGCCCUGUAGCGGGGGAUAGCCCGGCGAAAGCCGGAUUAAUACCGCAUACGCUCUACGGAGGAAAGCGGGGGUCGCAAGACCUCGCACUAUAGGAGCGGCCGAUAUCGGAUUAGCUAGUUGGCGGGGUAAAAGCCCACCAAGGCGACGAUCCGUAGCUGGUCUGAGAGGAUGAUCAGCCACACUGGAACUGAGACACGGUCCAGACUCCUACGGGAGGCAGCAGUGGGGAAUUUUGGACAAUGGGCGCAAGCCUGAUCCAGCCAUGCCGCGUGAGUGAAGAAGGCCUUCGGGUUGUAAAGCUCUUUCGGCGGGAACGAAAUGGUUCGUGCUAAUACCACGGACUGAUGACGGUACCUGAAGAAGAAGCACCGGCUAACUACGUGCCAGCAGCCGCGGUAAUACGUAGGG